UACGGUGGGAGCAAGCGUUGUUCGGAUUUACUGGGCGUAAAGGGCGUGUAGGCGGCCACCGCAAGUCGACUGUGAAAUCUCCGGGCUUAACUCGGAAAGGUCAGCCGAUACUGCGGGGCUAGAGUGCAGAAGGGGCAACUGGAAUUCUCGGUGUAGCGGUGAAAUGCGUAGAUAUCGAGAGGAACACCUGCGGCGAAGGCGGGUUGCUGGGCUGACACUGACGCUGAAACGCGAAAGCUAGGGGAGCGAACGGG
rnacentral:rRNA from 1 species